rnacentral:rRNA from 1 species
GAUGAACGCUGGCGGCGUGCCUAAUACAUGCAAGUCGAGCGAACGGACGAGAAGCUUGCUUCUCUGAUGUUAGCGGCGGACGGGUGAGUAACACGUGGAUAACCUACCUAUAAGACUGGGAUAACUUCGGGAAACCGGAUCUAAUACCGGAUGAUAUUUUGAACCGCAUGGUUCAAAAGUGAAAGACGGUCUUGCUGUCACUUAUAGAUGGAUCCGCGCUGCAUUAGCUAGUUGGUAAGGUAACGGCUUACCAAGGCAACGAUGCAUAGCCGACCUGAGAGGGUGAUCAGCCACACUGGAACUGAGACACGGUCCAGACUCCUACGGGAGGCAGCAGUAGGGAAUCUUCCGCAAUGGGCGAAAGCCUGACGGAGCAACGCCGCGUGAGUGAUGAAGGUCUUCGGAUCGUAAAACUCUGUUAUUAGGGAAGAACAUAUGUGUAAGUAACUGUGCACGUCUUGACGGUACCUAAUCAGAAAGCCACGGCUAACUACGUG